AGGGUUAGUCGGUUCCUAAGGCGAGGCUGAAAAGCGUAGUCGAUGGGAAACAGGUUAAUAUUCCUGUACUUCUGGUUACUGCGAUGGAGGGACGGAGAAGGCUAGGCCAGCUUGGCGUUGGUUGUCCAAGUUUAAGGUGGUAGGCUGAAAUCUUAGGUAAAUCCGGGGUUUCAAGGCCGAGAGCUGAUGACGAGUCGUCUUUUAGAUGACGAAGUGGUUGAUGCCAUGCUUCCAAGAAAAGCUUCUAAGCUUCAGGUAACCAGGAACCGUACCCCAAACCGACACAGGUGGUCGGGUAGAGAAUACCAAGGCGCUUGAGAGAACUCGGGUGAAGGAACUAGGCAAAAUGGCACCGUAACUUCGGGAGAAGGUGCGCCGGCUAGGGUGAAGGAUUUACUCCGUAAGCUCUGGCUGGUCGAAGAUACCAGGCCGCUGCGACUGUUUAUUAAAAACACAGCACUCUGCAAACACGAAAGUGGACGUAUAGGGUGUGACGCCUCCCCGGUGCCGGAAGGUUAAUUGAUGGGGUUAGCGCAAGCGAAGCUCUUGAUCGAAGCCCCGGUAAACGGCGGCCGUAACAAUAACGGUCCUAAGGUAGCGAAAUUCCUUGUCGGGUAAGUUCCGACCUGCACGAAUGGCGUAAGGAUGGCGGCGCUGUCUCCACCCGAGACUCAGUGAAAUUGAAAUCGCUGUGAAGAUGCAGUGUAUCCGCGGCUAGACGGAAAGACCCCGUGAACCUUUACUGUAGCUUUGCACUGGACUUUGAGCCUGCUUGUGUAGGAUAGGUGGGAGGCUUUGAAGCGUGGACGCCAGUUCGCGUGGAGCCAUCCUUGAAAUACCACCCUGGCAUGCUUGAGGUUCUAACUCUGGUCCGUAAUCCGGAUCGAGGACAGUGUAUGGUGGGCAGUUUGACUGGGGCGGUCUCCUCCUAAAGAGUAACGGAGGAGUACGAAGGUGCGCUCAGACCGGUCGGAAAUCGGUCGCAGAGUAUAAAGGCAAAAGCGCGCUUGACUGCGAGACAGACACGUCGAGCAGGUACGAAAGUAGGUCUUAGUGAUCCGGUGGUUCUGUAUGGAAGGGCCAUCGCUCAACGGAUAAAAGGUACUCCGGGGAUAACAGGCUGAUACCGCCCAAGAGUUCAUAUCGACGGCGGUGUUUGGCACCUCGAUGUCGGCUCAUCACAUCCUGGGGCUGAAGCCGGUCCCAAGGGUAUGGCUGUUCGCCAUUUAAAGUGGUACGCGAGCUGGGUUUAGAACGUCGUGAGACAGUUCGGUCCCUAUCUGCCGUGGACGUUUGAGAUUUGAGAGGGGCUGCUCCUAGUACGAGAGGACCGGAGUGGACGAACCUCUGGUGUUCCGGUUGUCACGCCAGUGGCAUUGCCGGGUAGCUAUGUUCGGAAAAGAUAACCGCUGAAAGCAUCUAAGCGGGAAACUUGCCUCAAGAUGAGAUCUCACUGGGAACUUGAUUCCCCUGAAGGGCCGUCGAAGACUACGACGUUGAUAGGCUGGGUGUGUAAGCGUUGUGAGGCGUUGAGCUAACCAGUACUAAUUGCCCGUGAGGCUUGACUU
rnacentral:rRNA from 1 species